rnacentral:misc_RNA from 1 species
GAUGAAGAACGCAUCGAAAUGCGAUACGUAAUGUGAAUUGCAGAAUUCAGUGAAUCAGCGAAUCUUUGAACGCACAUUGCGCCUGCCAGCACUCUGGCAGGCAUGCCUGUUCGAGCGUCAUUUCAACCAUCAAGCCCUAGGCUUGCGUUGGAGCCCUGCGGCUGCCGCAGGCCCCUAAAAGCAGUGGCGGGCUCGCUAUCACACCGAGUGCAGUAGAUUACUCUUCGCUCAGGGCGUGUGGCGGGUUCCAGCCGUGAAACCCCCUACUGCUCAAGGUUGACCUCGGAUCAGGUAGGAAUACCCGCUGAACUUAAGCAUAUCAAUAAGCGGAGGA